UAGAAAAACAAUGUGUUAUGAUAUGCUCCAGCCAGGUGUGACUCUGUUUACCCCCCCUUUGUGCUUAUGAACUUUCUGUGAACUUCUAAGGAACAGCGAAUGGAAUGCUUUGUAUUUUUUCCAACACUGAUUUGCUAUGAAGGAUCAUACUGCACCCUUGGUCUCCGCCACAUGCUCCAAAUCUCCCAGAGGGGGAGAUAGGCGCUGUGGUCAGCUGGCCAGCUUAAGAAAGGCUCUUAAAUUUAAAUUCUGAGUCGGUGGUCUAUCUCGUUGAGCCAACCCAUAACAGGGACAAGCAGAGCUGGGUGAGAGGGAGAGUCCACAUCAAACACCUCCUUUCUGAGGCCUAGGACGGAAUCCCCUCCCUUGUAUGGCACAGUGGAACAUGUAAAAUAAAAUUGCUGUCCCUUUUCUACACACGCUAUUACUCUUUUGAGCUCCUUCAUUCAUUGUUGCCUAGUGUGUGUUUCGUGAAGGGAAGACAGGCCCAUCAUUUCACCGGGGAUUUCUGCUGAGACAGCCAGUUCACCCUCCGCCUAGAUUUCCAGGGGGAGUAGCUGCUAGUCACACACCCCCGCACCCCCUGUUCCCUCCCCUCCCGGCCCCCGUGUCAGCUCUGCCUGAAGGCUCUCUCCUGUCAUGGCCACCCAGCAAGAGCAGCAGUUCCGAGCAUAAUCCACACAACAUCCAGAGAGAGAAAACUAAUUCUUUAUCCCUGUUGUGUCUCUUUCUUGGAAACCCCCUGGCAGAAUUCCCUGCAUAUAUCAUUCACCAAACUCGGGUUCUAUGUAGAGGGACCAACCAUCUCAGUUGGCCUGGGACUCGGGGGUGUGCUGGGAUGUGGGCCUUUAAUGCCAAAGCAAAGACACCCUCCAGAGCUCCCCAUAGGCUCAGAUUGAAGCUGAUCUCCAAGUGAGACCAUAUCUUGCUUCUCUUUUCCCUGCUUCCCCACAUUUCCUGAGGACAGCCUGUCCAUCAGUCACUUGCACAAGCAUCCCUGCCUCAGGCUGUGCUCUAGGGAACCCAGUGGAGGGCACCUGACCACUGCUGAACCAGUCAGCGGCAAGGGAAACAAAAUCACCGUGAUUCAUUCAGGUUCUGCCCCAGGGUUGGGCUGGAGUUCCCGUCUGCUGACACACAUUACACUGUGGAGAAGGAACUCCGGGCUCAAAACAGGCGAUGAUUAAGAGGGAAGAAGAGGAAAACAUGAUUAUUGGUAAAGCCAUCGAAUCCACAGAGCUUCUCUAGCAAGUAAUGCUCUUGGGGGAGGAAAAAAAAUCAGUUAGGAAUUUUAAAAAAAAAAAAGAAGAAGAAGAAGCAAUCCUGUUACAUCUAGGCUACCCACUGUAUAAGGCGCAACGUUUGGGAUUUUAUGCAAGUUAAGCCACAGCUUAACAUAUUUAGUUAAAGAAGGACAAAUGCUUCUGUGACCCUUACUAUGUGCCAAGCAGUGUUCUACAUACUUUAUAAAUAUUAAUUCGUUUAAUCUGCUAAAUAAUCUUGUAUAAGGAAAUGGAAACACAGAGAAGUUAAUCAACUGGUCCAAGAUCACCUGGAUAGUAAGGACGCUGCAGCCAGCGAUCAGCUGUUGCCCAUCAAUGGCCCAGUUAACCAAAGAUGGGCGACCUCACUGAGAUUUUCACCUUCGAGAUCAAGAAUUAGCCAUGAACCCUGCAGAACUCUCCCGUCAGAUUCUCUGAUUCUCGAUACCGCCUCCACACCUGAGAAUGAAGUUUAGAGCAGUGAUUAGUAAACUGAAAGGUCUUAGCUGUUGGAAUGAGAAUAUUGAUUCAUCCAUUCAACAGAUACUGAUUGAACUCCUUCUCUGGGCCAGAUACUGUUCUACACACAGUGAAAAAAAAAUAGGCAAAGAUCUCUGCUCCCUGCCUUGAGGAGCUUAAAUGUAGGAAGGAGAAGGAGGACAAAUAGUAAGCAUUUGUUUGUUAUAGUCAAAAUGGAAAAGUGGUUAGAAGAUGCUAAGUACUAUGGAGGAAAUCAUAGAGCCCAGGAAGAAGUUUGGGGAGAGUAGGGAACAAUCUUAAAUUUGAAGCAUUUGGUUGCAAUCUUAAAUAGGGAGGUCAGAGCAGACCUCAUUGGAAAGGCGAGAUUUGAGCCAAUAUAGGAAAGAAACUAGGGAGUGGACUUAAAGGGGAAGAGCAGGAAUAUGGGAAGGUGAGCAGAGAGUUGUAGGACAGGUCGGACGAGCAACCGAGGACCAAGGAGGUGGAGUUGUAGGAACUCGGCUUUUCUCUGAGAGCAGUGGGAAGCCGUGGCAGAAUCCUGAGCAGCGGGGUGAGUUGGUGUACUCGUAAAGCAACUCCUCACUGAACGCCCUGAACAGGAUAAAUUCCCAGAAGUUAUAUUCUUGUGUCAAAAAGGAUCGUAAGAGUUUAAAAAGGCUCUCAAUUCCUCAAGAAUUUCUGGAUCAAGGAGACUGGACCAUUCAAAGCCUUCCAAUGAAUGUUGCCAAAUUGCUUUCAAGGAAGGUCUUCUAUUUCAUACUCCGGCAGCAGUAUAGGAGAUUGCCUGGCUCACAUUAAUAAAAGGAACUUUGCUCUUUUGA